UACAGAGGUCCCAAGCGUUGUUCGGAUUCAUUGGGCGUAAAGGGUGCGUAGGUGGCGCUGUAAGUCAGGUGUGAAAUUUCGAGGCUUAACCUCGAAACUGCAUUUGAUACUGCGGUGCUUGAGGACUGGAGAGGAGACUGGAAUUUACGGUGUAGCAGUGAAAUGCGUAGAUAUCGUAAGGAAGACCAGUGGCGAAGGCGGGUCUCUGGACAGUUCCUGACGCUGAGGCACGAAGGUCAGGGGAGCAAACGGG
rnacentral:rRNA from 1 species